GACGAACGCUGGCGGCGUGCCUAAUACAUGCAAGUUGAGCGCUGAAGGUUGGUACUUGUACCAACUGGAUGAGCAGCGAACGGGUGAGUAACGCGUGGGGAAUCUGCCUUUGAGCGGGGGACAACAUUUGGAAACGAAUGCUAAUACCGCAUAAAAACUUUAAACACAAGUUUUAAGUUUGAAAGAUGCAAUUGCAUCACUCAAAGAUGAUCCCGCGUUGUAUUAGCUAGUUGGUGAGGUAAAGGCUCACCAAGGCGAUGAUACAUAGCCGACCUGAGAGGGUGAUCGACCCAAUUGGGACUGAGACACGGCCCAAACCCCUACGGGAGGCAGCAGUAGGGAAUCUUCGGCAAUGGACGAAAGUCUGACCGAGCAACGCCGCGGGAGUGAAGAAGGGUUUCGGAUCGUAAAACUCUGUUGGUAGAGAAGAACGUUGGUGAGAGUGGAAAGCUCAUCAAGUGACGGUAACUACCCAGAAAGGGACGGCUAACUACGUG
rnacentral:rRNA from 1 species